AAAGUCGUAACAAGGUUUCCGUAGGUGAACCUGCGGAAGGAUCAUUACUGAAUUGUCAACACGAGUUGUUGCUGGUCCCCAAAUGGGGGCACGUGCACGCUCUGUUCGCACAUCCAUUCACACCUGUGCACCCCAUGUAGUUCUAUGGUUUGGGGGACUCUCCCUCUGCUGUGGUUCUAUAUCUUUACACACACUCUGUAAUAAAGUCUUAUGGAAUGUAUGCAGCGUUUAACGCAAUACAAUACAACUUUCAGCAACGGAUCUCUUGGCUCUC
rnacentral:misc_RNA from 1 species